GACGAACGCUGGCGGCGUGCCUAACACAUGCAAGUCGAACGGAAAGGCGCUGCUUUUGCUGGUUGCACGUGUGGCGAACGGGGGAGUAUCACGUGUGUAUACCGUACCUAUCUUUGGGAUAUCUUCUGGGAACUGGGGCUCUUACCGGGUAGAAUAUACUGAUCCAUGGUGGGGGAUGGAAAGUUUCGGCGGUUGGGGCUGGAAUCGCUGCAUAUCCGCUUGUUGGUCGGGUAGUGGCUUACCAAGGGUACGACGGGUAGCCGGCCUGGGAGGGUGACCGGCCACAAUGGGACUGAGAUACGGACCAGUAGCGUACGUGAGGCAGCGGUCGGGAAUAUUGCAGAACGGGGCGAAGCCUGAUGUAGCGGCGCCGCGUGCGGGAUGACGUCCUUCGGGUUGUGAACCGCUGUGUCCUGUGAUGAAGCGUUAGUGACGGUAAUGGGUAAAGAAGCACCGGCUAACUACGUG
rnacentral:rRNA from 1 species